rnacentral:rRNA from 1 species
UUGAACGCUGGCGGCAUGCCUUACACAUGCAAGUCGAACGGCAGCACGGACUUCGGUCUGGUGGCGAGUGGCGAACGGGUGAGUAAUAUAUCGGAACAUACCCUAGAGUGGGGGAUAACGUAGCGAAAGUUACGCUAAUACCGCGUACGCACUAAGGUGGAAAGUGGGGGAUCGCAAGACCUCUUGCUCAUGGAGUGGCCGAUAUCUGAUUAGCUAGUUGGUGAGGUAAAGGCUCACCAAGGCGACGAUCAGUAGCUGGUUUGAGAGAACGACCAGCCACACUGGAACUGAGACACGGUCCAGACUCCUACGGGAGGCAGCAGUGGGGAAUUUUGGACAAUGGGCGCAAGCCUGAUCCAGCAAUGCCGCGUGAGUGAAGAAGGCCUUCGGGUUGUAAAGCUCUUUUGUCAGGGAAGAAACGGUUGUGGCUAAUAUCCAUGGCUAAUGACGGUACCUGAAGAAUAAGCACCGGCUAACUACGU